rnacentral:rRNA from 1 species
AGACCUCAGGUCAGGCGGGGCUACCCGCUGAGUUUAAGCAUAUCAAUAAGCGGAGGAAAAGAAACUAACAAGGAUUCCCUUAGUAACGGCGAGCGAACCGGGAAGAGCCCACCAUGAGAAUCGGUCGCCCUAGGCGUUCGAAUUGUAGUCUGGAGAAGCGUCA